AACGAACGCUGGCGGCAUGCCUAACACAUGCAAGUCGAACGAGACCUUCGGGUCUAGUGGCGCACGGGUGCGUAACGCGUGGGAACCUGCCCUUAGGUUCGGAAUAACUCCCCGAAAGGGGUGCUAAUACCGGAUAAUGUCUUCGGACCAAAGAUUUAUCGCCUUUGGAUGGGCCCGCGUUGGAUUAGCUAGUUGGUAGGGUAAAAGCCUACCAAGGCGACGAUCCAUAGCUGGUCUGAGAGGAUGAUCAACCACACUGGGACUGAGACACGGCCCAGACUCCUACGGGAGGCAGCAGUGGGGAAUAUUGGACAAUGGGCGAAAGCCUGAUCCAGCAAUGCCGGGUGAGUGAUGAAGGCCUUAGGGUUGUAAAGCUCUUUUACCCGGGAUGAUAAUGGCAGUACCGGGAGAAUAAGCUCCGGCUAACUCCGUG
rnacentral:rRNA from 1 species